UGGGGAAUAUUGCACAAUGGGCGCAAGCCCGAUGCAGCCAUGCCGCGUGUGUGAAGAAGGCCUUCGGGUUGUAAAGCACUUUCAGCGGGGAGGAAGGCGUUAAGGUUAAUAACCUUGGCGACUGACGUUACCCGCAGAAGAAGCACCGGCUAACUCCGUGCCAGCAGCCGCGGUAAUACGGAGGGUGCAAGCGUUAAUCGGAAUUACUGGGCGUAAAGCGCACGCAGGCGGUCUGUCAAGUCGGAUGUGAAAUCCCAGGGCUCAACCUGGGAACUGCAUUCGAAACUGGCAGACUGGAGUCUUGUAGAGGUAGGUAGAAUUCCAGGUGUAGCGGUGAAAUGCGUAGAGAUCUGGAGUAAGUCCGGUGGCGAGGGCGGCCCCCUGAACGAAGAAUGACGCUCAGGUACGAAAGCGUGGGGAGCAAACAGG
rnacentral:rRNA from 1 species